rnacentral:sRNA from 1 species
CCGCACACACUGACCCGUCCACGGCAGGAACGGGGGACCCACAGGCACGACCGCCUGUUCCGGUUCCCGGAACGGCUCGGGGUUAAGCCGCGCGACAGCGCGGCCGGGCAUCUCCAGCCCGCACCCGACAGCUCACCUCGUAGGCGCCGGAGAGGAAUU